rnacentral:rRNA from 1 species
AGACCACCAGCUAAGGUCCCAAAAUAUAUGUUAAGUGGAAAAGGAUGUGGCGUUGCCCAGACAACUAGGAUGUUGGCUUAGAAGCAGCCAUCAUUUAAAGAGUGCGUAAUAGCUCACUAGUCGAGUGACACUGCGCCGAAAAUGUACCGGGGCUAAACAUAUUACCGAAGCUGUGGAUUGUCCUUUGGACAAUGGUAGGAGAGCGUUCUAAGGGCGUUGAAGCAUGAUCGUAAGGACAUGUGGAGCGCUUAGAAGUGAGAAUGCCGGUGUGAGUAGCGAAAGACGGGUGAGAAUCCCGUCCACCGAUUGACUAAGGUUUCCAGAGGAAGGCUCGUCCGCUCUGGGUUAGUCGGGUCCUAAGCUGAGGCCGACAGGCGUAGGCGAUGGAUAACAGGUUGAUAUUCCUGUACCACCUAUAAUCGUUUUAAUCGAUGGGGGGACGCAGUAGGAUAGGCGAAGCGUGCGAUUGGAUUGCACGUCUAAGCAGUAAGGCUGAGUAUUAGGCAAAUCCGGUACUCGUUAAGGCUGAGCUGUGAUGGGGAGAAGACAUUGUGUCUUCGAGUCGUUGAUUUCACACUGCCGAGAAAAGCCUCUAGAUAGAAAAUAGGU